GGAGGACUCUGAUGGGUAAAAAAAAAACAACUUUAAAAAAUGAAGUGGUCACCGUUUCUGCGGUCCAGGACUGCCAACGUGGUUAUGUAAUGUCCCGUAACUUGCGGCCUAUGCUUUAGGCUCGAUCCAGAUUUGGAGUUUGAGCUCAUCUCACUUUAAGCCUCAGACCCUGCCCGUGUCCAAACCCAGUCCCUAGCUCCCCCACCCAAGCCUCCAUUUUCUGGAUAUGCUGUGGCCCGAUAUUGUGGAAGUCACGGCAUAUGGUGGCUCCCCAGCCUGUGUUAUGAAGCCCUUUGUGUGGAAUACCCUGCCCCAGUCACGUGUAUUUGAAGUUCCCUUCAUACCACCUCCCCAAUUCCUGAAAACCCCCGUUCGCCACAAGUUGGCGGUCUCCGUGGGCUCGAGUAGGCCCAGUCGGCCCCAAGAGAGUGUGCCCCCACUACCUUACUCGGAAGAGGUGGGUGUGCUCCUGUGCCGGUCAGCGUGGGUGGCGUCGUCACCUGGCUGCAGGAUGUGAGUCCUGCCAUUUUGGAAGGCCAGCAGUUUAAAGGGGUAUCCCCAUGCAUAGCGCAUGUUCGCCACUCUCAGGGCAUCGGUAAUGGGUUUCCACUCACGUCGUCGUCGUAAAGUGGCUGGCGCCAGGUCCUGGUGUAAAGCCAGGUCUGUGCAUUGGCAGGUGAUCGGGCCGUCUCUGCCUCUCCUGAGUAGUGCUUCCUUGGUCUGGAAGUGUAGGAAUUUUAUAAUGAUAUCCCGCGGGGUGUUCAUGUCCAGCCUCCUGGUGCUUAGUGCUCUGUGGGCACGCUCUAUGUGCCAAAGGUGAUCUGGCAGGCCGGGUAACAAAGGCUUAAGGAUUGCGGACAGUAUGUCUGCUACUGGGCCUUCCCCUGAGUUCUCUGG